UACGUAGGGUGCAAGCGUUGUCCGGAAUUAUUGGGCGAAGGAGCUCGUAGGCGGUCUGUCGCGUCGGCUGUGAAAACCCGGGGCUCAACCCCGGGCCUGCAGUCGAUACGGGCAGACUAGAGUGCGGUAGGGGAGACUGGAAUUCCUGGUGUAGCGGUGAAAUGCGCAGAUAUCAGGAGGAACACCGGUGGCGAAGGCGGGUCUCUGGGCAGUAACUGACGCUGAGGAGCGAAAGCGUGGGGAGCGAACAGG
rnacentral:rRNA from 1 species